AGCGGGGUAGAGGAAUUGGUUAACUCAUCAGGCUCAUGACCUGAAGACUGCAGGUUCAAAUCUUGUCCCCGCCU
rnacentral:tRNA from 1 species